rnacentral:rRNA from 1 species
UAGGGAAUCUUCGGCAAUGGACGAAAGUCUGACCGAGCAACGCCGCGUGAGUGAAGAAGGUUUUCGGAUCGUAAAACUCUGUUGUUAGAGAAGAACAAGGACGUUAGUAACUGAACGUCCCCUGACGGUAUCUAACCAGAAAGCCACGGCUAACUACGUGCCAGCAGCCGCGGUAAUACGUAGGUGGCAAGCGUUGUCCGGAUUUAUUGGGCGUAAAGCGAGCGCAGGCGGUUUCUUAAGUCUGAUUUGAAAGCCCCCGGCUCAACCGGGGAGGGUCAUUGGAAACUGGGAGACUUGAGUGCAGACGAGGAGAGUGGAAUUCCAUGUGUAGCGGUGAAAUGCGUAGAUAUAUGGAGGAACACCAGUGGCGAAGGCGGCUCUCUGGUCUGUAACUGACGCUGAGGCUCGAAAGCGUGGGGAGCAAACAGG